CNCUGGAGACAGUACCUUACUGGUUGGA
rnacentral:piRNA from 1 species